GACGAACGCUGGCGGCGUGCUUAACACAUGCAAGUCGAACGAAGUGGCGAACGGGUGAGUAACGCGUAAUCAACCUGCCCUUCAGAGGGGGACAACAGUUGGAAACGACUGCUAAUACCGCAUAAUGAAGGAGGGGAUUGCGUCUGCUUAGCUAGUUGGAGGGGUAACGGCCCACCAAGGCGAUGAUCAGUAGACAGUCUGAGAGGAGGAACGGCAACAUUGGAACGGAGACACGGCCCAGAGUCAUACGGGAGGCAGCAGUGAGGAAACUUCCGCCAUGGACGAAAGUCUGACGGAGCAACGCCGCGUGAGUGAUGACGGCCUUCGGGUUGUAAAGCUCUGUUAAUCGGGACGCGGUACCGGAAUAGAAAGCCACGGCUAACUACGUGCCAGCAGCCGCGGUAAUUC
rnacentral:rRNA from 1 species